GCCGGGCGCGGUGGCUCACGCCUGUAAUCCCAGCACUUUGGGAGGCUGAGGCAGGUGGAUCACCUGAGGUCAGGAGUUCAAGACCAGCCUGGCCAACAUGGUGAAACCCCGUCUCUA
rfam:Gorilla gorilla gorilla genomic chromosome, chr12, whole genome shotgun sequence